UUUUUAUCCAGAGAGGUGGAGGGACCGACCCGUUGAAACCUCAGCAACCGCCACGCAUGGGAGCAUCGUGUGGAAGUGGUGCUAAUUUCGGCAGAGUGCGAGUCCUCUUUUUAAGAGGGCAAACUUCUGAGAGAUGAGAA
rnacentral:ncRNA from 2 species